rnacentral:rRNA from 1 species
UACACAUGCAAGUCGAACGGUAACAGGUCUUCGGAUGCUGACGAGUGGCGAACGGGUGAGUAAUACAUCGGAACGUGCCCAGUAAUGGGGGAUAGCUCGGCGAAAGCCGGAUUAAUACCGCAUACGCCCUGAGGGGGAAAGUGGGGGAUCGCAAGACCUCACGUUAUUGGAGCGGCCGAUGGCUGAUUAGCUAGUUGGUAGGGUAAAGGCCUACCAAGGCGACGAUCAGUAGCUGGUCUGAGAGGACGAUCAGCCACACUGGGACUGAGACACGGCCCAGACUCCUACGGGAGGCAGCAGUGGGGAAUUUUGGACAAUGGGGGAAACCCUGAUCCAGCAAUGCCGCGUGUGCGAAGAAGGCCUUCGGGUUGUAAAGCACUUUUGUCAGGGAAGAAAUCCUUUGGGCUAAUACCCUAGGGGGAUGACGGUACCUGAAGAAUAAGCACCGGCUAACUACGUGCCAGCAGCCGCGGUAAUACGUAGGGUGCAAGCGUUAAUCGGAAUUACUGGGCGUAAAGCGUGCGCAGGCGGUUGUGUAAGACAGGUGUGAAAUCCCCGGGCUUAACCUGGGAAUUGCAUUUGUGACUGCACGACUAGAGUGUGUCAGAGGGGGGUGGAAUUCCACGUGUAGCAGUGAAAUGCGUAGAUAUGUGGAGGAACACCAAUGGCGAAGGCAGCCCCCUGGGAUAACACUGACGCUCAUGC